rnacentral:snRNA from 1 species
GUGCUCGCUUCAGCAGCACAUAUACCAAAAUUGAAAUAAUACAGAGAAGAUUAGCAUGGCUCCUGUGCAAGGAUGACAUACGACUUCAUGAAACGUUCCAUAUUUUU